UUUAAUAUGUAGCGAAGGUCUUUCCUCUCUUAUAAGAUUAGCUAUUUAGGAAGGAUUAAUAAAGGGGACGAGGGUAAGUUGCAGAGGGCCCCUUAUUUCUCAUUUAUUGUUUACUGACGUUUGUAUUUUGUUUGGUGAUGUGACAAAAAGAGGGUUGUAUUUUGUUUGGUGAUGCUACAAAAAGAGGGGCACAUACUUUAAAGAAUAUAUUGCGGGAGUAUGAAAUUUGUUUGGGGCAAUGCAUUAAUUUUGAAAAAUCAUUUUCUUAUUUUAGCUCAAAUGUAUCGUAGCAAAGGAGGGAAUUGAUGUUUUUUUAUCCUCAAAUGUCAGAAUUUCUAGGGACCCAGAAAGAUAUCUGGGUUUACCUAAUAUGGUGGGCAAGAACAAGCGAAAGGCUUUGCAAAUUCUAAAGGAUCGACUGAUGAGUAGGAUUAAUGGGUGGAAUAUAAUUCAUUUUUCACAAGGGGGAAGGAAGUCUUUAUAAAAUGAGUACUACAAACGAUCCUGGCGUAUUCAAUGACGUGUUUCCUAUUGUCGAAUUCGCUGUCUUGAAUUAGAGGGUAUCAUUGGAAAAUUUUGGUGUUAAAAGAGCCAUGGAAAGUAGGGUAUCGAUUGGUGCGAGUGGAGGAGAUUGUGUAAUUUGAAAGAGGAUGGAGGAUUAGGAUUUAGAUGCCUAUCAAAAUUUAAUUUAGUGUUAUUAGCAAUGUAAGGUUGGUGUCUGAUCUGUUAUCCAAAUUCUUUAUUGGCACGAUUGUUAAAAGCCAAAUAUUACAGAGUCAGAUUUUUUAAAUGCAAGAUUGAGCAAUUUACCUUCAUAUACCUGGAAGAGUGUGUGGACGGUGAAAGGGCUACUAAAGAAGGGAUUAUGCUGGCGAAUCAGAUCAGGAAAUUAAGUCUUGGUUUUGGAAGAUAUGUGGGUGCCAAGAGCUAUGGAUUUCAAAAUCCAAACACGAGCAAAUGGUCAACAUAUAUGUUAUGUAUCGUAUUUAAUUGAUCAAACUACAAAUUAUUGGAGGGAAGGAUAAAUAAAAAUUACCUUUAAUGAAGAAGAGGCUGACAGGAUCUUAUGCAUUCCUUUACCAUGUCCACCACAGGAGGACAGGUUGGCAUGGCGAGGUGAGGCUUCUGGGGAAUACUCGAUAAGGAGUGGGUACAAAAUACUAAUACAAGAAAUACACCCGACUACUCUCAACAAUGAACAACAUGCUUACAACCCCUUUUAUAAAAGACUUUGGCUCUUGGAUCUGCCUUCUAAAAUAAAAAUUAUGAAUUGGAGGAUUUUUAUCAGUUAUUUGCCUACUCAAUACAAUCUAUACCAAAGGAGAUAGGUGGGAUCUGUGAACUGUCCCAAAUGUACAGGCAAAGCAGAAAAUGUUGAGCAUGCUUUUCGAGAUUGUUUAGCUGUAAAAGAAAUUUGGGGAAAGUUAGGUAUAGAAUGGCCACAGGAACUAAACAAGGGUCAGUUUAAAGAUUGGAUGCUAUACCUCUAUUACAGCGUCUCAAUACAAAAAUGUCGAGUAAUAUCCUGUUCAUUUUGGGCCAUGUGGAUAGCUAGGAACAAAUACCUACAUGAGGGGAUACUACAAAAUGGAUCUGACAUAGCAUGUUUCAUCACGAGUUAAAUACAGGAAUUGGAGGAACUUAACAAGAGGUUACCUGGUUGAAGAGUGGAGGGAGAGCGUUGGAGAUCGCCGAAGGAGUCGUAUGUGAAAAUCAACUUUGAUGCUGCUUUUCACAAACAAAGCAAAAGUUCAUGUUCGAGGAUAGUGGUCAGGGAUUCAAGUGGGAGGGUUCUGAAUUUUACCAUGCGCCUGAAUGAGCACAUACCAACUGGUUUUGUUGCAGAGGCAAUUGUGUGUGUCCAGGCGGUUCAGUUAGGGCCGGAUUUUGGAAUCAUAAAGGCUGAAAUUGAAGGCAAUGUGUUGUCAGUAAUAAAGGUGAGAAUAGGGAAUACAGAUCAAUCUGAAAUUAGUGCCUAUGUAUUAAGCGUUAGAAUGCUAAGCUCUAAUUAUGAAGCAUGCUUGUUUAGAAACACAUCGAGAUAGGCAAAGAAAGUGGUGCAUGCAUUAGCAGUGGAGGAGUUAAAAGGAACAGGGGGUACUUAUCUACAAAAUGGAUUUCCUCGGUCGACUGCUAUGGAGGUAGAGGAUGAUCGCCGAAGAGCAUCUCUGAGAGAGUAAGUGGCGUAAUAAGGAUUGCAUGGUGGAUAGAACAAAAGAAUCGAUCAAGUUUGAAAAGGGUUACUGUCAGUUAGGGGUUUAUUGAGUGAAACCUCAGUCAAAAUGGUCUCUUGAUGAACAAAGUGGAUGGGUUCAGUGGGGGUACCUCGGAAUCAAGCUGGUUGAAGAAGACAUCGGCUUUUGUGAGGAGUUUUGGACUCUUGAGAGAGGUGCAUCCGGUUUCUAGCAUGAGUAUCGACGAACGGACAAUCAGUCGGUGAACGGGAACUGCUGGGUACUGGAUGUUUCAAGAGGAGUUUCGAUCGUGGAAAGGCUGGCUUCUGAUUAGGGACGUUUGUUUGGUUCUUUCUUUUUGUUUUAAGAAACCGAUUGGGUUCCUUCAGGGUUUGCUUUAAUUUCUUGUUUUUUAUUUUUAUUUUUUAUUCUUUUGAAAUAAAUGCAAGCCA
rnacentral:lncRNA from 1 species